CUGAAGAGCUGGAAAAUGCAGCAUAUGAAGUAAAAGGUGACGAAGAAUCUGAUGUAGAAGCGAGAAACAUGGAAGCUGAGGCUGAAAAUCCUGUGUCGCACGAAAUAUCAAAACCUUCAGAGCUAGAUGGUGAAGACAAUGAUAAUGAUGGUGAAGAACACAUAACUCCAUCCGGGGAGGAGAAGAACGAUAAAGAGCUGCAGGGAGGUUUUCCAGAUGACAAACCAAGCAGGGCAGAAGUGCACGAG